rnacentral:rRNA from 1 species
CCUACGGGGGGCAGCAGUGGGGGAUAUUGCACAAUGGGGGAAACCCUGAUGCAGCGACGCCGCGUGAGCGAUGAAGUAUUUCGGUAUGUAAAGCCCUAUCAGCAGGGAAGAAAAUGACGGUACCUGACUAAGAAGCCCCGGCUAACUACGUGCCAGCAGCCGCGGGAAUAAGUAGGGGGCAAGCGUUAUCCGGAUUUACUGGGUGUAAAGGGAGCGUAGACGGCAGUGCAAGUCUGAAGUGAAAGGCAAGGGCUCAACCCUUGGACUGCUUUGGAAACUGGGCUGCUGGAGUGGCGGAGAGGCAAGUGGAAUGCGUAGUGUAGCGGUGAAAUGCGUAGAUAUUAGGAGGAACACCGGUGGCGAAGGCGGCUUACUGGACUGUAACUGACGUUGAGGCUCGAAAGCGUGGGGAGCGAACAGGAUUAAAUACCCUGGUAGUC